rnacentral:pre_miRNA from 1 species
UUGCUACUCCCUCCGUCCCAAAAUUCUUGUCUUAGAUUUGUCUAGAUAUGGAUGUAUCUAAUACUAAAACAUGACUUGAUACAUCCGUAUUUAGACAAAUCUAAGACAAGAAUUUUGGGACGGAGGGAGUACAUU